rnacentral:rRNA from 1 species
UUUUGUGACGGUCCAGUUUGGGAUCGGAAUAGGGGUAAAACCAGGGCUAAGUGAGCGAGGGCUCUCUCUCGAGCUGACGCCGCCGCUGCCGCUCCGCACGGGCGUCUAUUCUGUGCCGCCGCGCCGCCUCGUCGCACGUGUUCCUGAAGCAGGGCGGGCGAGGAGGCAGCUCGCAUCGAGGCCACUGCGCCGCUGCGUCAACACCCCGUAAAGCGGCCGCCGACGGCCGCGUUCGAAAACCGCCGCCGCUGUAGGCUCCGCGCCUCCGGUCCGCUACGCGUGCACGUACUCUUACCGUCGCCGCCGACGACGAAGUAAGGUGCUCGGUGGCGCUUCCCGCCGCCGCAGGACCGGUACCGCACGCGCGUGCUGUCACCGGCACGCCUGGGGCUUCCGGCCGUAGUAGAACGAAACCGCCGGCGAAUCGGCCGGGUCCCUCUCUCUGCGGUAGUGGAGGUAGUAGUGGGUCGAUUACCGGGAGGCUAACUGUGGCGGCGAAGGGGGUGGAGGAGGCCUUGGUCUAAUCUAGCAGUACAGCAGGUGAGGCGGCGGUAGCAGAGUCUAACACAGAAGCAGGAAAACACAACCCGCACUACACGGCACGGGUGUUGCCUUGAACCCAUAACACACACACAGGCACGAACAACCACACCAAGUACUGAACGCCACCGCAACGCAAACACACACGCGACACAAGACAACAAUGGAACUAUGAAACACGAACCACCCACGAAAUAAAUAUUUCGCCCCGCUUUCGGAAAAAGCCAUGU